UACGUAGGUGGCAAGCGUUGUCCGGAUUUAUUGGGUUUAAAGGGUGCGUAGGGGGCUUUGUAAGUCAGUGGUGAAAUAUGGCAGCUCAACUGUCAAGGUGCCAUUGAUACUGCGGAGCUUGAGUACAGAUGAGGUAGGCGGAAUUGACGGUGUAGCGGUGAAAUGCUUAGAUAUCGUCAAGAACACCUAUAGCGAAGGCAACUUACUAGGCUGUAACUGACGCUGAGGCACGAAAGUGUGGGGAUCAAACAGG
rnacentral:rRNA from 1 species